AUGGUUAAAAAAGCUAUGAGACAGUCAUUCUUCUGAUGUGUCAAGAUGCGUGCCUGCCUUUUUCUGUUGUGGAGUACUCUCUCAGCUACUUGGACAAACCAAAUAAUUGUGACCCAGACACCUGGUAUGGUGAAGAUGAUAGCCGGUGGCACGGUGACUUUGAAGUGCCAUGUUGAUCAGAUUCUCGCCUUUUGCCACUCAGUGACUUGGAUGAAAGUAGACGCCAGGACUGGAACAAUGAGCACAAGAACUAACGUAAAGAUGAAUACGACCUCUGAGGCAGGGAAACGGGACAGAGUAUGUUCAGCAACCAUCACCAACGCAUUACUGAGCGACUCUGGCAUGUACUACUGUUUGGCUGUUCACUCCAAGGCGGUCCACAACGGCAACGGAUCCAAUCUAAUCGUCACAGAGAGCAGCACUGAAUCCCCAAACAUCAAAAUUGUCUCAUCAGACAGUGACGGCUCUUCCGCCGCUCUGCUGUGUUUGGUGUCAGGAGUGGUCCCGUCUCAAGUCCAUGUGUUCUGGCUCAUAGACGGGAGAGAGGACAGUGGACUUACUGAGUCCACCUGGACAGACAACAGUGAUUCAGCCACAGAGUUCACUAGGAACCAGAUUCUAGUCCAGGCAGAGGAGUGGGACAGAGGGGUGCAGUGUACGUGUGUGGUGGAGUUUGAGGGAAAUUCUAUCAACAAAACUGUGCAAAGAAUAGAUCUUGGCGUGCUAUGUUACGUCACAGUGUGGAUAUACAGACUCCUGGGAAUAACUGCCUGGCUUCUGCUGUUGAUCAUGGCUACCACUGUGGCAGCAUGCAGGGGCAAAAAUAGAGGUGUUCAGAGGAAUGAUACCUCAAAGAACAUGGGACGAAGGCAUAAUUCAUCAUAAAAAGGUUUUAUAGUUUGUCAUUUGUACAAAGUCAUUUUGGUAGCAUUGACAUGUGUUAAGACCAUUGGGAAAAGUUGUUUCUUUUUGUUGUUGUUGUUGCUUGCUUAACUGUUGCUAACUAUUCAAAAAUGGAAGUGUACAUUGGAAAAAAGCUCAUUAGAAUUUCAAAUUGCAGUUAUGUUUUUCUCAUAGAACAUAUUCACAUUGAAUAAUUAUCCACUGUAAAUGCUCUCUCAUUACAAGUCCUGGGUCAGAUAUCCACUUUUUUUCUUAUUCGAAACAUUUGAGCGAGUGAUUGAAAUGUUGUUGAAUUCCUCUCUGUGAACCACACUUUGCUAGGCUUCAUGCAGGCAACUGUGUAGUUACAGACUUCGAAUGAAUCCAUUUCAAGAAAAAAUGUCCAUGUUUAAAAGAUGCAAUGCAAUAGUAUUGCUUCAUUCCUUAUUCACAUGCUAUGUUGUUACUGGCUUAUUUGCUAAAGUAAGAAACUUUCCCAGAAAUCCUCACCAUCUGUUUUGACUACUAACUUGUAAAGGAGAGACAUGAUACCCAACUCUUUCUCUUAACAAGUGCAUAUCAGAUAAUCAAAUCAAAUCAAAUUUUAUUUGUCACAUGCGCCGAAUACAACAGGUGUGGACUUUACCAUGAAAUGCUUCCUUACGAGCCCUUUCCCACCAAUGCAGAGUUAAAACGUUUAAAAAAAUGUGCUAAAUAAAAAAAGGAAAUAAUAACAAAGAUUCGUGCAUAUUUUUUGCUAAAAUAAUUGCAAUUGCUGUGUAAUAACUGUCCUUCAAAUGAAAAGGUGAAACUUUGGAAGUAAGCAGUGUGCAGCAGCGUCGCUUAUCCAAAUCAUCUUAUUUAGUCCAACAGACUAAAUGUGUAAACGUGUCCUAUGUGAGAUAGGGCGAGAUUAUUGCUGGUCUCUGUCGUUUUGCUUUCAUCAUUGAAAGCAAGCCAAAGUAACUUUAAACCAAGUCAUUAAGCUUCACAAACCCUUUCAGAGACCUCCUGUACCCCCUGUUCACCCACGACUGUGUGGCCAAGCACGACUCCAACACCAUCGUUACGUUUGUAUUGGGCUAUUGUGUGUAUAUUGAUGAGGGGGGAAAAAAUGAUUUAAUCAAUUUUAGAUUAAGGCUGUAACGUAACAAAAUCUGUAAAAAGUCAAGGGGUCUGAGUACUUUCCGAAUUGCUGAAAAGAAUGUGAGAUCUGUAGCUGAGUAUGAGACUUAGUGGCAGAGUAGACAUAAAUUUGUCUUGCGUUCUGUUCAUAAUUGUGCCAGAGCAGUGGACAGAAAGAAACACACAUCAAGUCAGGAGGUACAGCAGCGGCUUGUGGUUUGAAGAGGCGACACUGACUGAGGUGGGCUUUCAAGGUAAAUCUCAUUGGUUGACUUCUGAAGAAAUCAUGCACUCAUGAAGAAAAAAAAAUCCCCUUUUGCAAUUGUUGUGACAUUUUGUGCUUUUGCAAAUUAUUUGGAAUUAUUUGUCACUAGGGGGUGUUUUAGAAACCUUUUUUUAUCAACCCCAACUAAAUCAUUUUGAAAAAAAUACAGCGGUAUUGAUCAUCAUCAUCAUUUGUGUCAAUUCCAUUUCAAUUAAAUAUAUAUUUUUUAGUUAUGCGACUAGCGUUGAAACAAUGAAGACCACUAUUUUAAAGAGUAAGUUUGUCUGAGGUUGCUAACCAGAAUGGUAGCAUCAGUUGUCUGCAGUCCAUUUUUACUCAGUGGCAUUGCCUCACAACCUUAAUCAGGUCAAAGAAAAGACCACCAUAUAGCACAUUUAGGUUGGAGAGCAUUUCAGUCUGUGUCAGUCAGUCUUUUGAUUCAGUUGUUGUUGACAUGCCAAAUGAAUAAAGCCACUUUGAGUUAGCUAAAGAAGAGUGUAUAAACUGUAAAGAUGUACCGUGUAAAGAUAUACUGAUGUAAACAAACCAUUUCUGCUUAUAAUUACUUGGACUGAAAAAUGUACUGAUAUGCCUUAGAAUAUAACAUCCUCCUGAAUCUGUCACGGACUGCAUCGAGAGACAGCCUUCUACAAAACUACAUGAAUGUCUCUGUAACAUCUUUCAGAAAUUGUUUGGAAAUUAAAAGCACACCUUCA